UUUGACACCAUUGUCAAAACUCAAAAGAGAGAAGAAACUAAUAAGAAAAAAGAAAAGAAAACGACUUAUAAUUACUUUCGUGAGCAAGGAAGCUAAUAAAUUCUGAGUUGUGGCAUGCUUGUGCUGGCCCACUUGUAACAUUGCCUCAGGUUGGAAGCCUUGUGUAUUACUUCAGGGGCACAGUGAACUGGUUUAAUCUUUUUCCUUUGAUUUUUAUUUGGUACUACUUUUUUAUUGCAAUAUCUUUUCAAAAUUGUACGUACCCUGAUUACACUAUUAGGCAAGAGUAUUCUCUUUAAUUCAAGAACUCAAAAUUGUCAGAAUUUAAAUCUGUUAACGUCGAUGUAAGACAGAAUUAUUCUAUUAUAGUUCUCAAACCCUUUAUAUUGAGGAAUUGAUUCAAUGGCUUGAUGUGGUGUUUUUCGGGCGAAUCGGAGAAAAUAAUGUACUACUUGAGAUUCAACUUAUACAUAUAUGAUUUUGUUUUGUCUAUCCAAUUAAACUCUCUAAUCCUGCUGGUUCAAACAAAAGAUAUCAGAACUGUUUUGUUUUGAGUUGCUUUUAUUUGUUUAAUUUGAACUUGAAUCAAGUCAUAGUUAUGUCUAAGAAUACUUCAUGUUAAUUUCUUAUAAAGCCUUUCUCCUUCAUUGGUUAAAUAUCUUUAACUUCUUUCUUUAUUGGCAUCUAUGACCAUAUCCUGGAAAAAGUAUUCCUGUAAUUCUAUCUGUGCAGUUAGGAAAUCGAAGAAAAAGGUGUUAUGGAACUUUGUUGUCCAAAGAUUAUUUGUUCUGUCCUUCCGCAGCUUGUGCAUUAUUGGUUGUUGAAAUAGCACCAUAUCUGGGAGUACCUAACAAUAAUCUAACUUGUUGCAGCAGGUGGCGGUUUCCACAAAUAGAACAGCAACUUCACAGAUACCUAAUUAUAAAAAUCUUGUUCCUCAAUUGUUGUGCCAAGUUCACAAUAUUACCUUACAUAUGCUAAUGUACUGAUGGAGGAGAAGAACGUUUUUACUAUUGAAAACGUGCUGAAAUUCUUUCCGCGUACCUGUUCUUGGUUAGGAGAGAGAUGUCUUCCCCAUUCCAGAUUUUGGACUGAAGCCUAAUACGCAUCCAACUGGGUUCUUUUGUAAAACUUUAGACUUUCAGUGAUACAAGCACACAUGGUGGAUUUUCUUUUCCUAGAAGAGCAGCAGAAAAGUUAUUCCCACCCUUGGGCAGCCGAAGCGACAUCUUCUCACAACUGGAUGGAGCAUGUUUGUUGGAGCAAAAUGCCUUAGAGCUGGUGAUUUUGUUCUAUUUAUCAGGGAUGAGAAGUCACAGUUAUUGCUGGGAGUGAGGUGGGCUAACUGUCAACAAACCUCAUUGCCCUCUUCAGUCCUGUCUGCUGAUAGUAUGCAUAUUGGAGUACUUGCAGUUGCAGCCCAUGCUACUGCUAAUAGAGAAGCACAUUCACAAUAUUCUACAAUAAUAGGGCAUGUCCUUUAGAGUUUGUCAUUCCUUUGGCCAAAUAUAGAAAAUCUUUUUAUAGCACAUAACUUUCAGUUGGUAUGAGGUUUGAAUGAUGUUUGAAACUGAGGAAAUCGGUAAAGGCAGGUAAGCUUUCUUCCAGAUUCAUGGGAUCACAUGCUAAAAUUAGAUUCGGAUAAUCAAUCUUCUUAUUCACUUCAUUUGACUUUGAAGUCCUAUUGUGAGAUAAUCAGUUUUUCCAUCCCUCUUGUUCCAACAAUAGUAAAUUGAUUCAUAAUUCAUGAUAAGUCCAGGUAUGUUUUCGUUCAAAUUUCAGAAUACAUUUCUGUCGGUUUUAUUCAAACUCAACUCUCUCAAUUUUACGGAAAAAAUCCAUGGCGGAUGCGAAAGGUUUUUGUUGCUUUCCUAAAUCUUCUAUUUUUUUUUUAAGAAAAAAUAAUCUUUAAGAAACUGUGUUUGUUCUAUAAAAUUGCUCUAUUGACAUGAAGUUGUCUCAUAUUUUAUUUAUGAAAUGUUUCUAAGUUUGAAAGUUUUAAUUGAAUUUUUUUAAAACAAAAAUUUUGAAUCUUACAGGGAAAUUUAAGACUGCAUACACUGCAGAUAGGGCAUAUGAUCGUGCUGCAACUAAAUUUAGACGACUUUAUGCAAACAUUAAUUUCAAUUUCGGUUAUUAUCAUGAUGACCUAAAACGGGUGUGUUUCCUUGUUGGAUCAAGGAUUUAAAUCUCAGGAAUGUUGCUUCUUCCACCCACUCUCUAAUGAUACAACAAUUGGUAAGUUACAAGCACAUGAAAGUAUCUUGAUAUUAAUUUAUGGUUAGGCUCGAUCACAAUUUUUGGUAAUAUGUUAAAGUGAGGUGUAUAUAUCCUAUCAUGUAUGAGUUUAAACUCGUAGUCAGAAGACAGGUGAGUUAUUAUAAAUUUUAAUUGGUGUUGAACAACUCUUAUCAAAAUAAGGUGUCUGUAGUUGCCAAGUUUCUUAAAGUAUUCUUCAUGUUUCUUCUUGUAUUUCAAUUGAUUGAAACUUUAAAUUUAACAAUUGGAGGACAUACUGUUGACAUUGCCACAUGGAAUAAAGAUAGUCUCUCUUGUGGUAAUCGGAGGAGGAUCCAAAAUUUCAAGUUAUGAGGUAUUUUUAGCUUAUUGGGUUCUAGAUAAAUCAUUUAAUAUAUAUUAACUGAAUUUUUUAACACACGCCUAUACAAUGUCGUAGGUGCAGGGAGGCGAGAUUGCCUCUUAUAUUGGGGGGAUAAACUUCUCCUGAAAUAUAUCAAUGCCAUUUUAGCUAUGUUAACCCUUCAUAUGUAGGCCUUACAGUUGUCUUUGAUAAAGACUAGAUGUGGAAAUCAAAUAUGAAUCACUAAUACUUGAAAUAUCUACGUUAUAUUUAAAGAAUAUGCAGUGUCAUGAUUAGUCAUAUAGCAAAAAUAGACCUUAACUAUGCAAUAUGUUGAGAAUUAUCUUCUAUGCUUCCUUGUCUUUACUUGGUGCUACUUAUUGUCUUCAUUGAUAUACGGUAUACAUUUUCUCUUGAUUCCUUUCCUAUUUUUAUAUUUUAAAAUUAGGUCACUUAUAUGCUUUCGGAAAGGCUCGUAGGAUGGAUCCAACAUCAAGUGGGCGUGCUGUUCGUCAAUGCAAGAAAUACCUGUUUCAUAGACUUGAAAUGAAAUAAGAAGAAGCUCAACCUCAACUUGCAAGAAAUGAUCAAACAGAGAUUCAGAAGUUUUACCAGAACUUUUAUGAGAGAAAUAUCAGAGAUGGCCGUCACACUAAAAAACAGUGAGACUUCAACCUGAAUUUCAUGUCUUCUUAAUUUUUUUUAAUGGCAGACCAUUGUUCACUUAAUUACUGGUUGACUUUACAUUAUUAUAGAGGAGAUGGCUAAGAUCUAACAAAUUGCAAGUGUACUAUAUGAUGUGUUCUUGUGUAGUCCUUGGAAUUUUCCAGUAUGUAUACCUCUUAUGGGAACUUUAAGCACUACUGUCUUCGUUUUCACAGUAGUAGGGUAUUCCCAUAGAUGUAUAAAACAUACAUUUGGGAUCUUAUGAUAUGUCCAUGAUAGUGAUAUAGUGGUAUAUUCAAAUGUAUUUAUUUGAUAUAGCAAGCAACAGUUACUUUAUAUUGAUCUUUAUAUGCAAUCUGAUUAUUACAUUA